UUUUGGCAGUGAUGAUAUUAAAUACAGCUUUAAUGCCAGUUCUGCUUCUGAUAUUCUGUGAUUGAUAGAGCUGUUUAUAUCCCUGAGUCUCUUAA
rfam:Nicotiana attenuata strain TT scaffold15024, whole genome shotgun sequence.